GCCUUCGUGGUGUAGUGGUCAGCACGCUCGACCCGUAACCGAGAGGUUUGUGGUUCGAUUCCCGGUGACGGCG
rnacentral:tRNA from 1 species